UGGAAAUACAAGUUUGCAAAUGUUUAUAGCAACUUGACAUUGACACAACAUGCUAUCUAUCCACAAUGGAUAGAUAAGCAAGAAAGCAAUAACAACUGGUCCUCUACCACAGAAUUUGAGAAGCCCUGCCUGCCACACAUCCUCUGCCUUCCCCGGGAGACUGCCAGCAUCAUGAGGGCAGGUUGUCCCAAAAGAGAACUCGAGAAUCGGUGAUGAGCACAGUGGGAGACGGAGCCGGCUGCCUAUCUCAAAAGGGCACAUCACCAUAAUCACGGCUACACGGGAUAUGUUUCAUCAUAGGAGUUGAAGACAUAAACUACACACAGUGUGAAUUCAAAAUAGCCCUAAUUCCAAGAAUUUACUCCCAAAAGGAACAUGAAUAUGUGUCUGCCUGUAUUGGAGACUGUAUGGAUGAAAAUUUCUGAAUUGACUCCCAUGUAAAAUGCAAAAAUUAUUAAAUGCUCACCUUCACUGCCUCGGAAGACCAACACUGGGGAAGCAAGAAAGAAGACAGGAAGUGGGAAGAAAACCCCCAAAGACUUCAGUGCGUUGGCUCCACCUGUGAUCACGCACAGAUGCAGAUUCUUAGACCUACAGGCCUGGAUUCUGUGUUUCCCAAUGACGGAACCUAACCCAAGCUGGCAAGGAAGUCUGGGAAAUGUCAUUUCCAGCCUUCCCAACCCCGGAUACAGAGGAGAAAACAGAAGAGUGAGGAUGGACCUAAGAACCAAGUCAGAAAUCACCAACAUGAGCAGUUGCACAAUUUAAGCACUUUAUUAUGUUGAUCGUCAUCAUCAUUUUUGUUGUUAUUACUUCUGCAGCCAACAAGCAGUGGGACCUCAGUCAAGUUAUUUCACCUCUCCAGGCUUUCAUUUCUUUAUCUUUAAAGUGAAAGGGUUGGACUGACUAAGUCCUCGGUCCCUUCCAACAAAUAAUUUUCUUCUUCCCCUCAUUAAUCCCAUCAACAAACACUUGCUGAGCCCCAAGUGUAAGCUGGGCACGAACGAAAAAUCAGCAAGAUCAGGUUUGUAUGAAAGGUCACUGUCUAGUGACAGAGACAAAUGAGUAAUUGAGCUCCUUAGUAAAUGUGAGCUCAUCCAGCGAGAGUGAAACGAACUGACUCCCAGUCCAGUGCUCUUUCCUGUUCCAGAAAGUUCCAUAGUCAGGGAGAAUUUCUCCUUCUGGCUCUGGGUGUGCACAUAACAGAUGGUCCCUUUCUCCAAUAAGCUCUGUCUCCCAUUGUCCAUCAUCUACCUCCUCCCCUACCUGGGCCUCAAUAUCAACUUGUCAAGGAUGUAGCAGGGAGGUGAGCUGCAGAGUGGGUCGUCAGCGCGGGGCCCUGGCCGACAGCUGCAGGGCAUUCAAGGUAAUAAGGGAUGUAAAAAUAUGAAUGCUCUGGGUCUCCAUGAUUUCCCUGUUUGCCCAAUCUGUCAUCAUGCUACCCACGGAUUUCCCACUAUUGCUCAUGACCCUAAUGUGGAGUGGGAGACCCUGUGUAUUCCAUUUCUUACUGCUGCUCAUUCUGAUUGCAUUUCAAAUAUUGCCGUGGAAACGUCAAUUCCCCAAGCCAAGAAGACCCCCGUUUCCCAGAAGCUACUUCUACAAACUCUAGAAUAUAGAUGAGCUUGGCCCAAUCACGCGCUGCAUCUCGACCCAGCGGAUUUGCAGCACACCUGCAUUGGAGGUAAAUCGAUUGGUGCUUCUUAAUCCCAGCAAGUACCAGGCAGGUUCUCCCCUACUCAUUGAAGCUUAGUAGUAACAUGCCCUUCACUGUAAAGAGAAUUUUUUGUCCUCUCACUUGGGACUAAAGGUCAAAGUUUAAAUCUAUAUUUAAUGCCAUUUUCUGAAAACUGGAUUUGUGAUUCCCUUUAUGUUGGUAUUACAUAUCUUAAGGGAUUUCAAGGGGAGAAAUCUGGGAAGCCCAGUUUCUGAGAAUGACCUUUACUUUAAAUGUGUAAAUAGGAUGGAGCUUGUGUUUCUGCUUUUUAAACCUUCUAAUUGUGUUUCCAAAGAUGGUUCUGGAAACCAUGGGCUGUGCUGAGUGGUUACACAGAAGCCACUUUGAAAAGAAGAGACUGAUUUUUGUCUUAUACAGAUGAAAAGCUGAAGGUUAAUGGCUCGUGCUCUGCUGGCCUGCUAGGGACAGUUUCUUGUGAAGCUUUGUACCUUGAGCUACGGUGAUCCCACAUUAGAAUAUGCAAAUAGUACGGCCUUUAACUGCCUCGGAAAAAGGAAAGUUCAAAUUUACUUAAUUCCAUUUUUCCUCUGAAUUUUAUAAAACAUUAUUGAAGUGGUAUCAGAAUAUCAUUCAGAAUGUCAGUUUUAGAAUAUUUCAAAUAUUUACCUAAAGGUUUUUUAAGCGGCUGCUUUUACUGUCUGAAUGUGGCACUAAAGACAGUUAUAAAAUUGACUUUCCUUGCACCUCAUAAGCUCAAAGUUGCAUGUUUAAAAGGUAGUGAUAGGGAUUUUUCAGUUUGCCAAGAGUCUCCAGGCAUGAUCGGAUAGAUUGAUGAUAGAUAGACAGGUAGAUAGAUAGAUAGGAAGAAAUAAUUGGAAUAUUUAAUAAAGAUCCCACGAUAAGCUUCUUUUUAAAAAAAGAUUGAUCCUCAUGCUAUUACCACAUAAUCUCCAACACUCAGACUCCAAAAAUUUUGCAUUUGUUAUUUUGAAACCAGAUACGAAUUGUCCUCCACAGUCGUCGUGGGGUCAGGUCACCCAAGAUGGCUGUUCUCUUGCUCUCUGUACAUCCCCUGCUCUGUCAGUGCCCUCUUCACCCGGCUCACCUGACUGACCUCCCCGCCAGCUAGUGAUUUGUUCUACCUUUGAGAUCAGGAACGUCUCCACCUGUUAGCUUAUCAACGGGGCGGGGAGGGGCGUGCCCCUCUGUGGUCUCCCUGGUAACUGAUGAGCCAAACCUGCGCUAACCCCCUCCCCCCCAGAGCGAGGACUGCCGCCAUGUUCUGCCCGCUGUCUGCCUGCGGGCACGGUGAGGUGUCCUCCAGAGCCUUGCUUCAGACAUGUAAGCUUCCCCGUCCAUUAAAAACCAUUCACGUCUGUCUCGGACGCCGGGCCCUGUCCCGGUCCAGGAGCUGGGCAAGCGCGGGGCUCGCAGGCCUGGGCGGCGCAGCCAGAACUUGUGGAGCAGCCAGGAGACGAGGAAACUCCGGUGAGCACGAGAGGUGGGGAAGGAAGGACGCGGGAUGGAAAGUUCGGGAGUGGGGGGGGGGGCGUCCGACUAACAUGUGGAGCCCAAAAGUUUCAGGGGUGACCCCCAAAAGUUGCAGAGGUAAUCUUGGGGCGGCCUCCACUAGUAUGUGGGGCCCUGUGGUGGCUGUCCUUGAUGAACAGGGGCCGCCAAGGCAGUACAGAGGCCUCACGGACACCCCCGCGGCUGUUGGCGGACAUGCUGGCCUCCAUGACUGGGAGGAAGAAGCGCCGCGGCCGCGGGCUGGCCCGCGCUUUUUACCAAACUUUUUACGCUUUUUACGUUACGCCAGGCGGCGGCUGAGCUACUGCUGAGGCGGGGAUUACUUAAAUGCUGGUUCUUGUUCCUCUGGGAGUGAGGCAUUGUGAAUGUGACUGACUGGUACCUAUUAUUGUCUGUUGCUGCUAUUCGUUUAAACUGAAUUGGCUAUUUAGAAACUGGGGGGAAAAUCCUUGUCUUGACUAUCUUGACGUUCUAAAACUGGUUUUUGCUUACGCGGUUAGAGGACGUUAGCUUUCUAGAAGGAAUUGAUAUUUCUCUUCGUGUGCGUUUGAGAUGUAAAUGAUCUACCUGGGCUCUCAGAAACUGUAAUCCGCGAGAGUGAAGGGGGGGAAAGGAGGCCUUUUAAACUCUAGCAGGAAAACUGUGAGAUCUGUGUCCGUGUAGAUAUAUGUAUGUCUGUGUGUGCCUUAGAAAUAUGAUGUGUCUCUGCCUCCAAAUGGCACAGCCAAGAUUGGUUUGUGGAUGAACUCUGUUUAAUUGGCGUAAAAGAAAUUAAGUGCGUACGUAAAUUCUCGGAAUUCGGUCUGGAAGCUGGGCAAGCACAGGACUCGCAGGCCUGCAGGGUGCAGCCCAACAUUCGUAUUGAAAGGGUGGCUUUGGAAUUAGAUUUUUCAUUAUUCAGCAGUGUAAUAAAAUCUGGCCCAAAGAGGUUCGCUCUCUGGGUUCUUCCAGACUGUUCUGCCCUCACACCCCACUGUCACUCCUACCACGGACUUGCCAGCCCAUCUCUUGCCAGCUUACUCUGUACAACACCUAUCCACGAUGCCCUGUCAGGAGCUGCUUUUCCACACAGGAGGCCCAGGCAAGGGCAAAACUUGCCCACGUUCAGUUGAAAAGUGGCAGGACCGGGUUUCAACCCCUGGCCUGUCUGACCCAGAACCCAUAGUUUCCCCUUGAUUCUAUUCUGUUCCCAAAUGAAGUUCACUGGGCUCUCUGAAAAAAACAAAACAAAACAAACACUUUUAUUUUAAGAGAGCCAUUUCUUGUAGCAUUUAUUUUUUUACUUUGAUCUAUACCUAUCCCUUGGGUGCCUCCUCCCAGCCCCCUGCUUCCUCCAUCAGAAAGCAAACUCACAGACAGGUUAUGGCAGAAUUGGGCUGGUGUUGUAGCCACUUUCACAGCCAGAUCAGAUGUCUUUGUGGUCAGCGCUAAGCUAGCCAGAUGAACCAAAGCUGACCAUGUCUGGGGCAGGCUGGUUCACAGUUUACAGCCACAGGGAAAUUACGUUUUCUGAGACGCAUCUAAAUAUUCACUUUGUGAUUGCCCCACACUUUCCCCUCCCUCCUGUGGUCAUUGCUGCCUUAACAGUCCCCCUCCUGCCAGCAGCCAGCAACCCCUUAGGGAUGCAGCCAUUCGUUCUCCCUCCUCCAUCCCUGCAUCAUUUUCUCCACUGGUCUUUGUUUCUCCAUUCCUGCAAGCAGGCUCCUCCUAUUGUCUCCCCACCUUCUGUCACUUUGGCCCCAGAUAGCUGUCGCUGAAACCACUGUUGACCCUCUCCUUUCCAGAAUGGCAGCUCCUCUCCGCCCUGCAUCCUUUAUAUAACUGCGGCUUCCUUAGGCGAAGCUGAUUAAACUCGCCUCCUCCACUGCCACAGUUCCUCAGCUUCUUCCCCGGGGCUUUGUGCUACCUCUGGCUUUCUUCUUACCUCUCCUGUGAUCUUUUAUCUUCUGUUCUCCCAGCUCCCUUCAAUUCUCUCUCUGCACUUUGUUUCUGUCUGACCCCCUCUAUCCCUUCACUUUUAACUGUAGCAGACUCCAGGGAAUGUCUUUAAAAAAAA